rnacentral:rRNA from 1 species
UACGUAGGGUGCAAGCGUUGUCCGGAAUUAUUGGGCGUAAAGAGCUCGUAGGCGGUUUGUCGCGUCGAAUGUGAAAACCCGGGGCUCAACCCCGGGCCUGCAUUCGAUACGGGCAGACUAGAGUUCGGUAGGGGAGUCUGGAAUUCCUGGUGUAGCGGUGAAAUGCGCAGAUAUCAGGAGGAACACCGGUGGCGAAGGCGGUUCUCUGGCAAUGUUCUGACGCUGAGGAGCGAAAGUGUGGGGAGCGAACAGG